GCUGGUGCUGUAAAAGGUCAGAUGAUCCGUACGCUCAUGAAAAAAAGAGCACCCCCAACAUGGACUCUUUCCCCACAUAUGUCCCCCAAGCCCCUGUACAGGAGCAACCCAAUGGCAAGACCUUUGAGACUAUUGAUGACCCACAAAAGAAGAAAAGAACAGGCAUGUACAUAGUGAACCCCUGAGCAGAAGAUGUGGAGGUCACAUACCAACAGGCAAACUCUUGUCUGCAGAACAAGAUCUGACAAAGAUGAGCUACAAGCAAAACCAUGCCACAACCGCUGUAGAUACUGUAUAGUUUAUCAGGAAUUUAGCAUGUUAUAUUGGAUGAAAAUGAUCGGAAUGAAUGAUUUCGUAUGUUUGUAUUUAUUCCACAAAUUUUGUGCAUAAAUAUUGGGCAACCUUGCUAGUAUUUUGUACUGUAUUUGAUGGCAUCAUAUUUGACCCUUGUCACGUUCCUGACCUAUUUCUGUUAGUUUGUUGUAUGUGUUAGUUGGUCAGGACGUGAGUUUGGGUGGGCAUUCUAUGUUUUCUGUUUCUAUGUUGGUUUAUGGGUUGCCUGGUAUGGCUCUUAAUUAGAGGCAGGUGUUUGGCGUUCCUCUAAUUAAGAGUCAUAUUUAGGUAGGUUGUCUCACAGUGUUCGUUGUGGGUGGUUGUCUCCUGUGUCAGUGUUUGUCGCACCAUACGGGACUGUUUUCGGUUUGUUUGUUCAUCGUUAAUUUAUGUGUAGGCUAUUUUCCCUGUUCGUGCGUUAUUCGUGUUAUGUGAGUCCGUCGUUCAGGUCUGUCUACACCGUUUGUUGUUUUCUUAGUUUAUUAGUCAAGUUCGUGUUUUCGUGUUAUUCUUUAAUAAAUUAUGUCUUCAAACGCCGCUGCAUUUUGGUUCAAUCCCUGCUUCUCCUCAUCGGAUGAAGAGGAGGAGGAAAACCGUUACAACCCUGUAAUGAACACAACCAGCGUCAAGCUGAUAUAUUUUUUCAGUCUGUUAUAUUCUGACUUUUCAUUGGCACAAAUAUCUCAGAUGUUUUGCUUUGCAUCAUGUUCAACUGCUCAAUUGUAUAAUGCUAAAGAUGAAUGUUAAAUCAAAUAUGAGAAUCAAAGAGUUCCUUAAUUGGUCAGAUAUUUGAAUCGGGAGUUUACAGUAAUGAUGUAUAUAAGCCCUGGAUUGCUAAUGGUAUGUAUUGGUCAUUGACAGGCUUUGAAGACACCGGUCGGCCAUUUUGGCACAGUAGGAGCAGUCCUUCACAAGAGUACAUUGAAUUCUAGAGUAUUUCAAUUAAAUGUUUCAAUGACAAAAUGACAUGUAUUUAAAUAUUUGUUUAUUGUUGGGACAGUAACAGUCAUCUCAAAAAAACUAUACUGUAAGGAAACGUUUUUAUAGAUAUAUUUUUUGCAUGUUUAGCUCACAUAAUACAAUGUAAAAGUGGGCAAUAGAAUAGAAUACAUGUGGCAUAAACAAAUUUAGAAAUAAAAAAAAUAAUUUCUAUAGUUUCCAAAAUAAAAUGAAAUGAUGGUGAGGGAGUGCCAAGAUGGAGGCAUGGUGGCUUCAAUAGAGCCCCCCAAAAUAGUAGUCUAGUGUAUAUAUAAAUCAUUGUCUAACAACAUGUGCAGUAAUAAUGUGACAUCUUGCGAAAUGGAAAUAGAUGGAGGUCUGAAUCUUAACUUGACUUGAGUGUCCAUUGAUGUCAAUGGAAGAUUUUCAAAAACUCCAGUUACACGCACAGAUCUCAAGUUAGGAUUUGGGACUUGAGCAUUACACAUGUAAA